rnacentral:rRNA from 1 species
CAGUCGCCGCGGUAAUACAGAGGUCUCAAGCGUUGUUCGGAUUCAUUGGGCGUAAAGGGUGCGUAGGCGGCGAGGUAAGUCAGAUGUGAAAUCCCGGAGCUUAACUCCGGAACUGCAUUUGAUACUGCCUUGCUUGAGGACUGGAGAGGAGAUCGGAAUUCACGGUGUAGCAGUGAAAUGCGUAGAUAUCGUGAGGAAGGCCAGUGGCGAAGGCGGAUCUCUGGACAGUUCCUGACGCUGAGGCACGAAGGCCAGGGGAGCAAACGGGAUUAGAUACCCGUGUAGUCCCUGUCUCUUAUAC